rnacentral:rRNA from 1 species
CUUGGUCAUUUAGAGGAAGUAAUGCUCGCUGAUAGUAGAGAUGCUCGCUGCCAGCGGAGGGAUCAUUACCGAGUUUACAACUCCCAAAUGUCGCUGAACAUACCACUUGUUGCCUCGAUGUCGCUGACCGCUCCCGGUAAAACGGGACGGCCCGCCAAUGUCCGUCUAAACUCUGUUUCUAUGCUCGUAGAUGCUGCUAAACCAUAAAUAAAUCAAAACUUUCAACAACGGAUCUCUUGGUUCUGGCAUCGAUGAAGAACGCAGAUGUCCGUGAUAAGUAAUGUGAUGCUCGUCGUAGAUGUAAUCAUCGAAUCUUUGAACGCACAUUGCGCCCGCCAGUAUUCUGGCGGGCAUGCCUGUUCGAGCAUCGUCGCUGAUAGCAAGCACAGCUUGGAUGUCGCCUGUAGGUUAAUUCGCGUUCCUCAAAAUGCUCGUAGGUCACGUCGAGCUUCCAUAGCGUAGUAUGCUGCUCGUAGAUGCUCGCUGAUGUCGCGGCCACGCAAUGCUCGCUGAUGUUCUGAAUGUUGACCUCGGAUCAGGUAGGAAUACCCGCUGAACUUAAGCAUAUCAAUAAGUGAGAGGAAUGCUCGCUGUAGAUAGUCGCUC